rnacentral:rRNA from 1 species
AUUGAACGCUGGCGGCAUGCCUUACACAUGCAAGUCGAACGGUAACAGGUCUUCGGAUGCUGACGAGUGGCGAACGGGUGAGUAAUACAUCGGAACGUGCCCGAUCGUGGGGGAUAACGGAGCGAAAGCUUUGCUAAUACCGCAUACGAUCUACGGAUGAAAGCAGGGGACCGCAAAGCCUUGCGCGAACGGAGCGGCCGAUGGCAGAUUAGGUAGUUGGGGGGAUAAAAGCUUACCAAGCCGACGAUCUGUAGCUGGUCUGAGAGCGCGACCCGCCACACUGGGACUGAGACACGGCCCAGACUCCUACGGGAGGCAGCAGUGGGGAAUGUUGGACAAUGGGCGCAAGCCUGAUCCAGCAAUGCCGCGUGCAGGAUGAAGGCCUUCGGGUUGUAAACUGCUUUUGUACGGAACGAAAAGGCUCUGGUUAAUACCUGGGGCUCAUGACGGUACCGUAAGAAUAAGCACCGGCUAACUACGUGCCAGCCGCCGCGGUAAUAC